UCGUCGAGUCAAAGUGCGCGGAUCGCUUAAAAGGCGAACAACCCACCUGAUAUUCCGUUCAUAUUCCUGUUCACAAUAAUUAAAUAUUUGUUAAGUGCAAGUUAAUGUGUCAGUUGUUGCCGUCUUGUUGAGUCAAGUUCGUUUAGCGAGUGCAAGGUGCAAAAGUGAGCUAAUAUCCGAGGCAGCAAGUUUCUGUUGGAAAGCCAAGCGAACAAGAUGGGAAAGUUCGAGUACUCACUGGGUCUCAAUGAGCUCAAAUCCAAGGAGCUGCGUUUGUGGCAGGCCCUGAUUGGAGAAUUCCUAGGUAAUCUGAUCCUUAAUUUCUUUGCCUGCGGAGCAUGCACACAGGAUCAAGAUGGAACCUUCAAAGCCCUGGCCUUUGGCCUGGCCAUUUUCAUGGCCAUAACGAUUGUGGGUCACCUGAGUGGUGGACAUGUGAAUCCUGCCGUCACUGCUGGCAUGUUGGUAGCAGGACGAAUCAGCUUCAUCCGGGCCAUUUUCUAUGUGGUAUUCCAGUGUCUGGGAUCUAUUGCAGGAACAGCAGCUGUCAGGAUCCUCAUCGAUCAAGACUACUACAAUGGCCUGGGUCACACCAGCCUGGCUACCAAUAUCACCGAACUGCAGGGUCUGGGCAUUGAGUUCUUCCUGGGCCUGCUUCUGGUGCUCGUGGUGUUUGGAGCCUGUGAUGCCAACAAACCCGACUCACGCUUCACUGCCCCCCUGGCCAUUGGUAUGGCUGUGACCUUGGGCCACCUGGGCACCAUUCGUUACACGGGUGCCAGCAUGAAUCCUGCUCGCACUGUGGGCACUGCCUUUGCCACCGAUAAUUGGACUUCUCAUUGGGUUUACUGGGCUGGGCCCAUACUGGGGGGCGUGACCGCCGCCCUGCUGUACACCCAGGUGCUGGAGGCUAAGCCGGCGCCGAAGACGAACGAGGCGGCCGAGAAGUACCGAACGCACGCCGAUGAACGCGAGGUGAGAGUACGAUUGAUAAGCGCCUGGAGCGAGGAGUCCUUCUUCUGAUCAGUGAUCAGUGAUCAGUGAUCAGUGAUCACUUGUAACAUACACUCACACUGUCAUACACACACACACAGACACAUCUCUCACCGCAUUAUGCGCAAACUGGAAGGAGCUCGCGACUAUGCUUAGAAAUUAAGGAAAUUCAGCAACUCGAAUCUAGAGAGUUAGAGAGAGGGAAGAGGGUUACGAAAACCCAAUCAUUGCAGUGUCUAUCCAUAUACUUAUGUCGUGUACUUUCCCCCUGUUCGUGUGUAUUUAUGUGUAUUUAUUCAUGAAAAGUUCAUUUUUUAUUUAACUAAUAUUUAAAUGUCUAAGCUGCCCCUAAAAAAGAUGCAAAUUCUGCAAAGCAAAAACAAUCACUUGUAUUCUCAUGCGUUCACAAUAAAGUGGAAAAAACAUUAACUGAAUUAUAA